rnacentral:lncRNA from 1 species
CUGUGGUUAGUACACCUAGCUAUGCUGCUUUUGCCCUGGGGUCUUCCAGCCUUGUGGCUGGUGGCUGGGUGCCUUCUACUGGUGCUGUGCAGAGGCUUUCCCUAAGGCUGCUGUGAGCCUGUAGGGUUUCCCCCUAGGCUACUAAGCUGGGUCUCUGGAACUCUCUCCAGCCCCUGUCCUCUCCGAGAUCUCUGGCAAUCCCUAGUCUCACGGGGCGGGCAACGGCAGCUGGGGGUCGCCCCGCCCUCUGGGCUUCUCUCCGGGCCUCUCUCGGGAGCCCUGAAUGCUGGGCGUGGCCCCUCUGCUAAUGGCAGACAGAGAGUUUUGUCUGCUGCCUGGCGGAACUCCGGCACUUCCCCUCCGGGUCGCAGAACCGGCCUUUGAAAGUUCCCCCCGCCCCGGUCCUCUCCGAGAUCUCUGGCAAUCCCUAGCCCCACGGGGCGGGCAACGGCAGCUGGGGGUCGCCCCGCCCUCUGGGAUUCUCUCUGGGCCUCUCCCGGAGCCAUGAAUCCUCAGCGUGGCCCCUCUGCUAACGGCAGACAGAGAGUUUUGUCUGCUGCCCGGGCGGAGCUCCGGCGCUUCCCCUCCGGGUCACCGGCAACGGCAGCUGGGAGACCUCCGUACCCUCCGUGACUCUCUCUGGGACCCAAUGGCGGGGAGAGACUCUCCCCGCGGGCUCAGGUGUGCAACUCCAAAGUUUCCCUCUGCGUUUAGGAGUAAUUGCGGGGGGUUUAGGUAGGGUUCUGGUCACCUGUUUCCACUGUCGCUCCUCUGUUGUGUUCUCGCUCCUGCCCUAGAUGUGUGUGGAUCCUCUGGGGGCGUCCGUUGGAAGAAAGCCGCUUGCGGGUACUAGGCUGCCCAUCGGGGUCAGAGAGUUUUCACCUAUUUCCACAUCCUCCCGGAGGAAAGUCCGUCCGCCUUCUGAUGUAUAGUCACGUGGGUGUCUCAGACGUCCUGAGAUGCUGUCUGGAUAUCCUUUGUCAAGCGAUAAGUGUCCAAAUAAUUGUAGACUCGAAGGGCGAGAGACAAAGAGGACUACUCACGGCGCCAUCUUGGAUCUUCUCCGGUGGGAUAUUUUGCUCGUGUCCAUGGCAUCAGGCAGCUUAUAAAGGCAUUUCUACAGAAGAUAGAAUGUCAGUGCCAAAUUAUAAACCUGGGGGCUGGGAUGGAUACCGCCUUCUGGACAUUAAAGGUUUGUACAGAUUUUUUUAGGGUCUUCUAUCAGGUCAGUCAUGUGGCAGUAAUGGGUAUGUGCAUUUCCCCAGAUUUCUCCAGAUGUACACCAAGAUAAAUUAGAGUGUGUGGGCAUAACCCGACCUGCAUAUCUGUUUUGUCCCUAAUCAGCUCACCUGAUAAGAUGGUCUUUAGUCAUCAGAGCUCCCAGCCUUUCUCUUACUCAAGCGAGAAGUCGGUGGCAUCAACAUGGUCUUAGUAUUAAACGUUUGCCUCUGCAUUCUUCAUUUAGGAUAAGAUAACUAACAUUUCUGAGGUGUUUUUACAUACAUGGCCUCACGAAUUAACAUGAGAUCUCUGUGAGAGGGGAGAGUUUUACACAGAUGGGGAAAGUGGGGCUGCGAGAGCUUGUGUCUUUCCCCAAAUUGGAUAUCUGGUGGCACUGGAAUGUGGAACAAACAUUGGAGCCCAGCUCAUCGAACUGCAGACUCCUUCCCCUUUCCUCUACACACAGCCCUGUGGGUGUUCCAGCGGUUCUUUUCUGUAGGUUGAUUGUGCCUGUGUAACACGGGGACCAUGGUGUACCAGAAGGAACUGGAAGAGAAUGCAGCGUAAGCGAAUGUGCAGUGUCAGUGUUCACAGGGGCCGCUGGAGAAAUCCCUCCUUUGGGCCUGACACCUUUUUGACUGGUCCCAUGGUUUGGUUUUUUCCCUGUCUUGCAAGUGAGUUAAUAAUUAAUAAAUGUGAGAUUUUUAUUUCUGAGCAAGGUACACAGAGGCUUACGUGCUCCUUCCAAGGAAAAGGCUGUCUGGCAGUAGUGAGGAAGGAGAGUAGCACAGGGUCUGAAAGUCUUUUGUGGAAGUUUUUUGUUUUGUUUGAUAAUCAUAUUGGUCUGAAGGGAUUUUUUAAAAUCUAAAGUUCCUCCUUUUUUGAAAAACAAUUAUUAUGUUUGCUCUUUUGGAGCCGAGGUUGCAUGGGCCAAAUCCAGCCUGCCACCUAUUUUUAGAAAUCAAAUUUUAUGGGAUGCAGCCACUCCCAUUUAUUUCCAUAUUCUCUGUGGCUGCUUUAGCACUGUGACCGCGGAGUUCAGCAGUUAUGACAGACCGUCUGGCCUUCACAGGCUAAAAUACUUAUUUCUGACUCUUUACAGAAAGUUUGCUAAUCCCUGUUUUAGAAAUAUAUGUGCUCCUAUAAAAGAGUGAGGAAAAUGUUGUCUGUUGGUCUUGUUGUCUCAUGCACCUCCCACCUUGGAUGGUCCCCUGGCUGCCCCAGCACAGGAUUAGCUGUGAGUCAAGGCUUUCUGCUGUCACUACUAUAUGAGUUUGGUCUGUAUGAUCUCAGGGGCCCAGGACUGGAGGGUUGAAGACUCCCAUCUUCGGGCAGCGGGCAAGAAUAGGGCAAGGGAGAGCUGGUAUUGUCCCAAACAGAGAAUAAGGAGUGAGUGAAACUCUUAAGGGGCCUCAGUUGUUUGGUGUCUCUUGAAUUCUGUUUCUACAAACUGAAAGGUCAAGUACAUAGGGGAAGGAUUGUCAAUUUUGCUGGCCUGUGAAACGGUCAGCCAUGUUGGAUCUGCUUUGAGACUAAGUGGUACCCUUCCUCCUGGCUGCUCCUGGCUGCCCUCUGGUACUUAUAGUCAGUCUUGGGUGUCUCCCCUGCCUCCUUGAGACGUGUGAGCUACUUGGGAGUGGAGUGUCAGAAGGGCCUAGAGAAUCACAGACUAAAAAGUGGAAGUAUCACUUCCCACAGCCAUUUUGCCCUUUUCUGAAAGCCGAGAAAGAGGAUGUCUGUUUCUUAAAAGCUCCAGGUGUGCCUUUUGGAAGCUUCCCUUCCACAGUGCCCUCUUAUUCAGAAUCAUUGGGAGGAUCAAGUGAGCUACUGCAGGGAAAGCUCUUUACAAAGUCAGAAGACCCAUUUGAGUUGUAGGACUCUAUGCUAUCUGUCAUUCAUUUGCUUUUAAUUGCUCUCUUUGUCUUCUGGAAUUUUAGACUAUCUUUAACUUUCCAUACCCUGUGAGUAAAAGUUCUUGAAAGGUCUUGUAGAAUUUCCUAGAGAAAGUCAGGAAACCCCUUAAUGGGUUUCACUCACUCCUUAUUCUUUGUUUGUGACAAUACCGGCUCUCCCGUGCCCUAUUCUUGCCCACUGCCCGAAGAUGGGAGUCUUCAACGCUCCAGUCCUGGGCCCCUGAGAUCAUACAGAUCAAGUUCAUGUAGCAGUGGCAGCAGAAGGCCUUGACUCGCAGCUAAGCCUCUGCUGGUGCAGCCAGGGAACCACGCCAGGUGGGAGGUGCGAUUUCCACACAUGCUCUAAACACGUCCUCCACGGAUCUUCAAAUAGAUUACAUAGCCCUACUCUGCUGAUAGGCGGGAGCUCCUCUGAUGUCAGGAAACUGUCUUGUUUAUUCCUCCCCCCACCCUCCGCCACUGCCUCCCUCGUACCUUCCUUUCCUUCCUCUCUUCUCUCUCUCUUUCUCUUGCCCCAUCCUUCCCUCUCUCCCUCCCUCUCUUCCUUCCUCCUCCCCCACCCCUCCAGAUCCCCUAGGACUUUAACUGAGGACUAGUGUCUGCAUAGGGUGGGGGAGCUGGAUCUCACAUUUCUGACACUUGCCCUUAGGGGUCACCUUCCUACUAGGAAAUGCUUGCUCAUGAUUUCCAUUCCCAUCAUGCUGUCCCAUCAGGGGGUCUGCUGCCCCUCCAUACUGCUCUCCAUCUCUUACUACUGUCUACAUAAAUGGUUCUCUCUCCUGCCCAGUUGCUCAGGGCAGAAACAAGGGUGCCAUCCUUACUCCUCCUUUUUCUUUAUCCCACCCUCUAUUGACACCACACCAGGUUCUGGAUAUCAGCAACUUUCUUUUUAAAUAAGUAGUUCUGUAUUUCUGGAAUAUAAGCACAGAUGGGAGCAGGGAUGUUAAAAGAGUACUAGGCCAGAAGGUGGGCAGGUGGGCCAGGUUGUGGAGCACCCAGCAUCUUAGCUCAAUCUUAGAGGUGGGAAGAGCUGCUGCAGGCAACAUGAAGUGUGUCGUUGAAAGAGAUCAGAAAGGGAUGUUGUUAGAGUCUGUGCAGUUGGGGACAGAGCGGAAGAGGAGAGGAUGCCUUCUAGGAUAGUCAGCAGGCAGGGCUGAGUGACUGAUCAAACAGGGUGGAGACGGAGAGAAUUCUAGGAUGACCAGUGAGUGACUGUGGGGAGGAGGGGAUAGUACCACCCAGCUAGGGAAGCAGAAGGGGGAAGCAGGGCCGUGUGUGUGUGUCUCUAUGUGUGAGGUUUUCACAGUUUUUUUUUUUUUACUGCAGCUCACAGUAAAAAAUAAAUGUAUAUCCCAAUCUAGCACCCACAUCUAUGUACUGAUGUCUAAAUAAUAAGGGCACACACAUGGUGCUUACUAGGUGCAGGCCCUGUUCUCUCACUCCUGUAUUUCCUCAUUAAUCCUCACAACCCCACGAGGUGGUAUCAUUUUCUCUACUUUUCAAAUGAGGAAGCCUUGGCUCAGGGAGUUUAGUGACUUUCCCAAGGCCUCAGAGUGAACAAGUGGUGGAGCUGGGAUUUGAACCCUGUCCGCCCGGGCUGCAGAGUCCCUGUCCUUUACCACCCCAGUAUACUCCACUGUCAGAGAAAAAAAUAAAUAUAUUACAAAAUAGUACUUACCCUCACCUCAUGUGAUGCUUUCUGAUAUUUGCUAUUUUAUUUCAUUUCAUCCAAAAGAUUCUUGUCCAUACCCACUACACUGAUUUCCUGACUCUCUCUAAUUGGUCUCAAGCUGCUUCCUGUUACAUCCUACGUCCAGAGUGCCUCCUGCUCCUCCCCACUCCAUCCCAGUGGACGCUUCCCCAGUUCUGGCUGCCCAUUACUUCUUGCCUAGGAUGAGGGUCUUCUCCCAAGGAAAUAUUUUGAAGUUGACUUUCCGGUGAUAGUCACGAGAAAGCUACACAGCAUCAAGUAAGUGUGGCUUUGGCCAGAAGAAAGAGCCUGGUAGAAUUCAGAACCGGCCUUCAGUAGACAGCAGGUCUGAGUGCCAGAGACCUCAUUUUAGGGCCCUGCUCUCCUCACUUGCUUUCUUGCCCCGAGACCCUCAUUCCAGUGUGUCUUGCAGUCUUCAAAAUGAAAAAUACCCUCCCUUGUGACUCUUCUCUCCAUUAAUGUAACUUCUCUGAACACUUAAAAAAUGACCUAUCAUAGUUUAGUAAUCUGAAUUAAAAUUCACAUAAUGUGUAUUUUGUUUACUUCUUUAUCCCAGGGAACAGAAAGGUACCUGGUCCAGAAAAGAUAUGUAGUAAAUAUUUUUUGAAUGAAUGAAUGAAUGGGAAACUGAACUUAAUCAUUUAUUAUAUAUGAGAUAUGUGGGGGCCAUUCUGAGUCGAGGUUUCAAGGAGUUUGCAAAGUUGUAGAUGAUGAGUUUGCUCAUCUUUGCCGAGAGCUUUGCGUGUCAAAUGCUUCUCUUGGAUUGUCUCAUUCAAUCCUCAGAGCAGACUCAUGAAUUAGUGCUAUUAUUAGCCCCUUCUUACAGAUGAGGAAACUGAGGCUCAAAGACGUUAAUUUGCCUAAAGUCACCUGGCUAGGAAGGGGUGGAGCUGAGCUUUAAACCCUGACUUCAAGCCCAAGGUCAAGGUUUCUCAGUACAGUCGUGUGUCCCCUAACAGUAACAGGGAUGCGUUCUGAGAAAUGCAUUGCUAGGUGAUUUCAGUGUCAUGUGAACGUCGUGGAUUACACUUACACAGUCCCAGAUGGUGUAGCCUACUAUACAUCUGGGCUGUAUGGUGCUAAUAUUGAAGGACCACUAGCACGUAUGUGGUCUGUGGUUGACUGAAACGUCAUUAUGUGGUGUGUGACUUAGUUUUAACCUGUACUCCCUCCUUUUAAAAUUAUUUAAAUAAAAUUUUAAUUCUUAUAUUUAAACAUUUUAAUAAACGCAAAAGUUUCUACCUGUCCUUUAGAGAUGUCUAAUCCUCACAAACUGGAAAUAUUUUUCAAGUUUUUUCUUUUCUAGUUUAUCCUAGGAAAAUAAGUUUUUUACCCCUUUCCAAAUAUAAAAUUGCAUUUUACAUUAAAUAGGCUUUUUGGAUAAUAUAUGGCAAUUCUGAUGCUCUGGGAACUGCAAAGUACUACUAAGCUUGUUAAAACUCUGAGUGAAGUAAGAGUAAGUAGGCUCUAAAUCAAGGCCAGACACGGUUUCCUGGGGUGAAAA